CAAAAAAAUGGUAACUUUCCAAAAAAACCAAAAUAAAAGCGCUAAAUUAUUUGUUUCUAAAAAAAAGGUGGGAUACAAAAGGAAAAAAUAUUCAAUUAGCCCUAGCUCUACUCCAUUCUCCCUCUCUAUUCAUUAUUUUCUCUACACUGCCUCCUUUCAAUCUCACCUUUACUCUAUUGCCAUCAUUCUUUUCCCUCUCUAUUAUCCUCUUCUCAGAUUUAGGCUUACGGGGACAUACAUACAAACUGAGACUAUUCAAAUACCAUGGAUUUCGAUGUAGGCAUUCGCAAAGAACGCUUCAAUGGCAAUCUGCCCAACCUCCCUCCUCGUCUGCAAUGAAAUAGGGCAAAGGAGAUAUUAUGAUUGGAAGGUACAGGUUAUGUUCAUUAUUUUGAACUACGAUUUUUCUUCCAGGCAUACAAUGUGCGUAUGAAAGCUUUUACAGAGCACAUUGAGAUAUGAAUUUCUGCUGAAACUUUUACUUUAUGCUUUUUUUUCUUUUUUUAGAAUUCUUGUAAAUAACUUGGUUUAGAUAUCUUUGUUGCUGCCAAUAUACAACCAACACACAUGAUUUCAUCAAUAUGUAAUAACACUAAAUUAUUUUGAA